UACGAAGGGUGCAAACGUUGCUCGGAAUUAUUGGGCGUAAAGCGCACGUAGGCGGCAUUGCAAGUCGGAUGUGAAAUCCCUCGGCUUAACCAAGGAAGUGCAUCCGAAACUGCAGUGCUUGAGUACUUAAGAGGAUCGCGGAAUUCCCGGUGUAGAGGUGAAAUUCGUAGAUAUCGGGAGGAACACCGGUGGCGAAGGCGGCGUUCUGGACUGCAACUGACACUGAGGAACGAAAGCCAGGGGAGCAAACGGG
rnacentral:rRNA from 1 species